GUUUCAUUGGCUGAGGUUCUCACGUUAAACCCCUCUCAUCUUCAAGACCUGCAGCUCUCCCAGAACGAUCUAUCGGAUGAGGGGAUCGAGAUCCUCUUGAAAGGAUUCGCCAGUCCACACUGCUUCUUACAAUACCUACGGCUAAAAUGCUGCGGAAUCACGAAGCAAGGAUGUAUUUCAUUGGCCCUUCCCACCUUCAAGAGCUUGACCUGAGCGAUAACAAUCUGUCGGACAAGGGGGUGGAGAUCCUGUCAAAAGGACUGUCCAGCCAACACUGCAUCUUAGACUGUCUUGAGCUGAGGAACUGCAAGAUCACAGAGCGAGGAUGCGUUUCAUUGGCCGAGGCUCUCAAAUUAAACAUUUUUAAUCUUCAAGAGCUGUACCUUGGGGCAAUCAAAUCACAGAAGAAGGAAAGAGGGUCUUAUUGGAUGUCAAAGAGGAUCCCAGCUAUAGGCUGAAA